rnacentral:lncRNA from 1 species
CGUAAGUAGGAAUGUCAACGAGGCGGAUUCUGAACGAAUGUUUAAAAACCCUGUGCAUAAAUGCGACAACCGAGUACGAAACUCAAACACGAACAUGAUUAAAAAUUCGAAAUUCGAAAUUCGAAUUCAAAACAACCAUUUUUCUAUACCAUAUUUUAAAAUAUAUUAUAUCGAAAUAUAAACUUUUUUUUUGAUAGCAUGCUAGCUGCUUCGUUUAUUUCAUUUAUAAAAAUUUAGAAAUAAACUUAGCAAGAAAUGUGAAUCAACUAGAAUUCGAACUUCGGUCUCGGAUACCAAUCACCAAGUCCUUUGCCACUUGCUCUAUGGACAGUCGAUUUAAAAUAUAAACUUAAAUAUAAUAUUCAUCAUUCAUAUACAAUAUAUAUAAUAACGUGAAAUAUUUUUCACUUUGGGUUCGUGUCGGAAAAAAGACAGUCGAAUCUAUAUCCACCAGAUUUUUUUUUUUCAUUUCUUUU